GAGGAAAGUCUGGGCUCUACAAAAAGUAUAGCUAUAUAACUUGUAGUAUAGGUGACUAUGAGGAUAGUGCCACAGAAAGAAACCUACUUAUUAUUUAAGUAAGGGUGCAAUGGUGCAGUAAAAGCGUACCAGAAAUAUUUUUAAGAUAUUUGCUAGGUAAACCCCGUAUUAGAGCAAAGUAAUUAGUAAAAAACUAAUAAUUAAAUAUACUGCAUAAAAGUAAAUGCUAAUAUUACUUGAGAUAAAUAAUUACCCUUUUUGUAUUAUAUGAUGCAAUUAAGAACAAAACCCGGCUUAU
rnacentral:RNase_P_RNA from 1 species